AUUUUCGACCGAAAUUAACUGAUCGAAACCGAAACCGAAAUUUCGAUCGGACUCUAAAAUUUAUUAGAAUAUAACAAUAUUUUC